rnacentral:rRNA from 1 species
AACGAACGCUGGCGGCAGGCUUAACACAUGCAAGUCGAACGCACCUUUCGGGGUGAGUGGCGGACGGGUGAGUAACGCGUGGGAAUCUACCCUUCUCUACGGGAUAGCUCCGGGAAACUGGAAUUAAUACCGUAUACGUCCUGAUGGAGAAAGAUUUAUCGGGGAAGGAUGAGCCGGCGUUGGAUUAGCUAGUUGGUGGGGUAAAGGCCUACCAAGGCGACGAUCCAUAGCUGGGCUAAGAGAAUGAUCAGCCACAUUGGGACUGAGACACGGCCCAAACUCCUCCGGGAGGCAGCAGUGGGGAAUAUUGGAACAUGGGGGCAAGCAUGAUCCAGCCAGGACGGGUGAGUGAUGAAGGUCCUAGGGUUGUAAAGCUCUUUCAGUGGGGACGAUAAUGACGGUACCCACAGAAGAAGCCCCGGCUAACUUCGUG